rnacentral:ncRNA from 1 species
ACAAUAGAGGUGCAAAAAACAGGGUAAUCGACUUCGGAGCUGCAGGGGGCUCGAUGGAGGUCGGUGAAGGGGUUUUUUGCCGAAGGUGCGCGCUCCUCCUGUGGCGCGUUCCUGGGGGUGCCGUGUAAGCUGCACAACUGUCAUGUCGUAUUGCAGACAUGGAGCGCUAUUGGU